rnacentral:rRNA from 1 species
UACGAAGGGGGCUAGCGUUGCUCGGAAUCACUGGGCGUAAAGGGUGCGUAGGCGGGUCUUUAAGUCAGGGGUGAAAUCCUGGAGCUCAACUCCAGAACUGCCUUCGAUACUGGCGAUCUUGAGUCCGGAAGAGGUGAGUGGAACUCCUAGUGUAGAGGUGGAAUUCGUAGAUAUUAGGAAGAACACCAGUGGCGAAGGCGGCUAGC